CAGGGGUCCCCCAGAUUCAAUUCUAGCUCUCGGGCUGGUGGGGCGGUCGCGGGCGCCUCUCCAAGGGAGCUGAUUCAUUGUCUGGUAGGCCCUCUGCAGGGCCCAGCUGGCGGCCCAGUGGCAAAGCGCCGUUGGUCCUCCGUUUGAAAACCAUGAUCGCGGUUAGUGGAAAGAGUAGGCUGAGUCCUGAUUUUUAAACUAUACGGUGUUACAAUGUGCAUCUGCGUAAGCCUGAGAUCAUAUUGAAAUCCUGCCCAGAAUAUGGAGCUUCAAAGAAGACUAGAUCCAUAUAAAGAAACAGAAACUCAAAGAAGUAACCAGGUCUGUAAACCCCGCACUUUGAGAGGCUGAGGCAGAAGGGAUUGUUUGAAGCCAGGAGAUUGAGACCAGCCUGCACAAUAUAAGGAGACCUUGUCUCUGCAAAAAAUUUAAAAAACAAAAGAAACUCAAAGAGGAGGACAAAGACUCUCUCCAGUGAAGCCUUUCUCUUCUCCUCAGGCCUCUCCUUCCUGACUCAGCCUUGGUUUACCACUGAGAUUUGCCAUAUACCAUACAGAAGAACAAAAACGUUACCAAUUAUUGGCAGGUUUUUUUUGUUUUUUUGUUUUUUUUUUAACCAAACGUCAAGUUGGUGAUGAAGUUAUCUGGAAAUGUCAACCAAACCCAGAAGACUACACAAGACUACAGGAGAAGGCACUCUGGGUAACAGAUUCAAGUUUUCGCAUCAGUUUGUUCGAUGAAGGAUCACAACAUAGACAGUACGGCUUUCUUG
rnacentral:lncRNA from 1 species